rnacentral:rRNA from 1 species
GACGAACGCUGGCGGCGUGCUUAACACAUGCAAGUCGAACGGGCCCGCUCUCUUUUUUGAGGGUGGGUUGAGUGGCGAACGGGUGAGUAUCACGUGAGUAACCUGCCCCCUGCUCCUGGAUAACUGCUUGAAAGGGCGGCUAAUACGGGGUGUGCCGGCUGGUCCGCAUGGGCCUGGUCGGGAUAGUUUCAUCUUCGGGUGUUUCGGUGGGGGAUGGGCUCGCGGCCUAUCAGCUUGUUGGUGGGGUGAUGGCCCACCAAGGCGGUGACGGGUAGCCGGCCUGAGAGGGUGGGCGGCCACACUGGGACUGAGACACGGCCCAGACUCCUGCGGGAGGCAGCAGUGGGGGGUAUUGCACAAUGGGCGGAAGCCUGAUGCAGCGACGUCGCGUGAGGGAUGGAGGCCUUCGGGUUGUGAACCUCUUUCUCCGGUGGUGAAGGCCCUGUCCGUUGCGGCGGGGUUGACGGUAGCCGGGUAUGAAGCGCCGGCUAACUACGUG